rnacentral:lncRNA from 1 species
CGGGGAGUGAUGCCUGCAGGAUGACAGGGCGACAGAAGAAUGUGUUAAACAUAUGGAGUAUGGAAGAAGAAGGAGAGGGGAGAUAGGAUUUUUAUGUUAUAGAUUGGAAGAAGACACUCUUGAUGAAGGAGAUGUUUUUACUUUGGAGAAGGACUGCCUCAGCCGCGAAAGACCAAGGGGUGGCACCACAGGGAGAAGUCUGCACUGCGCUUGUCAGGACGGCCAGUGGGGGGCUGCUGAGCGCAGGGAGUCAGUCCUCGCAAUGAAGAUAUAGUCUCGGGGAGAUAAUGCUGGAAAUCGAUGGAAGAAGUGGAACAGGACACAAAUUUAGUGGAAUUUCUUUACAAUGUGUGCUUCUUGUCACCAGUUCAUUAACCAUGAUAAAAACGGUUAUGUUGUUACAUUCAUCAAGAUCCAAAUUUUCUACCAUUUUAAGAUGUCUAUCAGUCACAAUGAUGAUCACUGAAGACCGAACGAGAUCAUUUCCUCUAAAAAUUAUGUUACAUUAACCCAUAAUGGCAUCAGUGUCUGUUACACGUUUGCUUUAAUUUUGAGGUCAAAUACGACAUUUGUAAAUCUAGCACUUCAU